rnacentral:rRNA from 1 species
UACGGAAGGCAGCAGUGGGGAAUAUUGCACAAUGGGCGCAAGCCUGAUGCAGCCAUGCCGCGUGUAUGAAAAAGGCCUUCGGGUUGUAAAGUACUUUCAGUCGUGAGGAAGGUGUUAAGGUUAAUAACCUUAGCAAUUGACGUUAGCGACAGAAGAAGCACCGGCUAACUCCGUGCCAGCAGCCGCGGUAAUACGGAGGGUGCGAGCGUUAAUCGGAAUUACUGGGCGUAAAGGGCACGCAGGCGGUUAAUUAAGUUGGAUGUGAAUCCCCGGGCUUAACCUGGGAAUGGCAUUCAAGACUGGUUAGCUAGAGUCUUGUAGAGGGGGUAGAAUUCCAUGUGUAGCGGUGAAUGCGUAGAGAUGUGGAGGAAUACCGGUGGCGAAGGCGGCCCCUGGACAAAGACUGACGCUCAUGUGCGAAAGCGUGGGGAGCAAACAGGAUUAGAUACC